UUUAUAUGGUGGGCAUGGAGGCUGAAAAACUCACAUAGUUUGUGUUGUCAUCAGCUUCUUUUUUCAUUGUAAAACUGAAGUUAAACAUGAACACAACAUUU